AAGUGGUCAGCCGAGGUGGGAAAUGAAAGAAAAAGAUGGAAAUGUUAAAAAAUUUUGGUAGGGUCCAUUAGGAGAAUAAUGGGUGAAUUGAUUUUGUUUUUUUAUUUAUAAACUCGUGUGUGUGUGUAUAUAUAUUUAUUGUAUCAGGGACAGCAAGGUGUGGACGAAAAAGAAGGAAAGAAAAGAAAGGUAAUUGCCGGGGCCUACUUGGUGACUUUUGGUGUGAUAUCUGUGUAUUUUUCGUGUGUGUAGUGUAAUUUGAAAGUAAAAGAAAAAUAAUUUAAUAGUGGGGUUCACAAGACACUUUAGGGUCAAGACCAUAAAGUUGGUCUCAUUUUCCUGAUUCCCUUUCUCUCUCUUCGUGCAUCUCUCUCAAUCCGUUCCGUUUGAGGCAAAACAAAGCUCGUGUCAAACUCUUUACAUCCAUACCAUCAAUUUCCAGUUUUGAGUCUUCCUUGGAGCUCGACUGUGAGGACCCAUUUUCUAGGGUUUUGGUGCAAUCUUGAGGUCUUGGAAAAGAACCAGUGGACGACAAUCCACCCCAACUUUGAAAGUUGCUAGAGGAGCAUUUUCCUUGUUAUUUUGUAAUAGAUUACUCCUUUGUUCAUCCCUCAUUUUUUGUAAAAUUCCAAAGGUGUAAUGAUGUAAAUUUCUUUUGAAGAACCAUGAUCAUGUAAUACACUUAUGAUACUUGAUGACAUAUGGGAUGCGAACUUGAUGAUAUGUAACUUGUUGAUGAAUGGAAGGA